UGGGGAAUAUUGCGCAAUGGGGAAACCCUGACGCAGCGACGCCGCGUGUAGGAAGAAGGCCUUCGGGUCGUAAACUACUGUCAAGAGGGAAGAAACUGUAGGGCAUUAAUACGGCCCUGCACUGACGGUACCUCUAGAGGAAGCACCGGCUAACUCCGUGCCAGCAGCCGCGGUAAUACGGAGGGUGCAAGCGUUAAUCGGAAUCACUGGGCGUAAAGCGUGCGUAGGCGGCGCAUCAAGUCAGGCGUGAAAGCCCUCGGCUCAACCGGGGAAUUGCGCUUGAAACUGGUGCGCUGGAGUCUCGGAGAGGUUGGCGGAAUUCCAGGUGUAGGAGUGAAAUCCGUAGAUAUCUGGAGGAACACCGGUGGCGAAGGCGGCCAACUGGACGAGUACUGACGCUGAGGUACGAAAGCGUGGGUAGCAAACAGGAUUAGAUACCCUGGUAGUCCACGCUGUAAACGAUGGAUAUUAGGUGUCGGGGUUUAACUUCGGUGCCGCAGUUAACGCGUUAAAUAUCCCGCCUGGGGAGUACGGUCGCAAGGCUG
rnacentral:rRNA from 1 species